CGAGACCUCAGGUCAGGCGGGGCUACCCGCUGAAUUUAAGCAUAUCAAAUAAGCGGAGGAAAAGAA
rnacentral:rRNA from 1 species